UACGGAGGGUGCGAGCGUUGUCCGGAAUCACUGGGCGUAAAGGGCGCGUAGGUGGCCUGUGGAAGUCUGCGGUGAAAGCCCGGCGCUCAACGCCGGGUCGGCCGUGGAUACUCUCGGGCUUGAGCUUACUAGAGGCAGAUGGAAUUCCGGGUGUAGCGGUGGAAUGCGUAGAGAUCCGGAAGAACACCGGUGGCGAAGGCGGUCUGCUGGGGUAAUGCUGACACUGAUGCGCGACAGCGUGGGGAGCAAAACAGG
rnacentral:rRNA from 1 species